rnacentral:rRNA from 1 species
UGGGGGAUUUUGGACAAUGGGCGAAAGCCUGAUCCAGCAAUGCCGCGUGUGUGAAGAAGGCCUUCGGGUUGUAAAGCACUUUUGUCCGGAAAGAAAUCCUUGGCUCUAAUACAGUCGGGGGAUGACGGUACCGGAAGAAUAAGCACCGGCUAACUACGUGCCAGCAGCCGCGGUAAUACGUAGGGUGCAAGCGUUAAUUGGAAUUACUGGGCGUAAAGCGUGCGCAGGCGGUUUGCUAAGACCGAUGUGAAAUCCCCGGGCUCAACCUGGGAACUGCAUUGGUGACUGGCAGGCUAGAGUAUGGCAGAGGGGGGUAGAAUUCCACGUGUAGCAGUGAAAUGCGUAGAGAUGUGGAGGAAUACCGAUGGCGAAGGCAGCCCCCUGGGCCAAUACUGACGCUCAUGCACGAAAGCGUGGGGAGCAAACAGGAUUAGAUACCCUGGUAGUCCACGCCCUAAACGAUGUCAACUAGUUGUUGGGGAUUCAUUUCCUUAGUAACGUAGCUAACGCGUGAAGUUGACCGCCUGGGGAGUACGGUCGCAA